rnacentral:ribozyme from 1 species
GCCAUCCAGAUAUGCUGCCUCUACGUGGCGGAUGGCAGACAACGGAAUCCACUUCCGGCUAAAGCAUAU